CUUCUGUUCUCAGUGAUUGGCCCCGGCGGAGGUAGGCCUAGACUUAAAGGGACUGCGCCCUCCAGGGGCACGCGGGAGGGAAGUGACCUGUGGAGUUUGUAGCGGAGUUGGACCACUAACAAGUUCCAGGGUUCCUUUUGGCGCUGGAAAAAAUUUGGAAGUCACCUGGCCUGGUUAUCCGCUAUUUUCAGAAGCCCAGAGAGACUGCGCCGCUGGUUCCAACUGCACACAGCGCUCCUCCUGCUCUUCCAGAAUCGAGGAAAGUUUGCUUCCCCAAGCAGGAGGACUGCAGAAGUGACCGGUGCUGAGCCAACCCCUCUCCACGCCUGCUCCCCUUUGGGCUCAGGGACCCCUGAUUCUAGGGCUGAGCCAGGGCCUGUGUGCAGAUGGAGCUACACUGGCCCCGACUCCUGUUCUGGAAGUUUGUUCCUGCCUCAAAGACUUGGAGCCCACGACUGCCGCCAAUCUCUGCUCAUCUGGCUGCUCAUCCUCCCAGCCGCAGCUUGAAGAGGUUCCCCUGACCUCUCCCUCUGCAGGGCUCCCCAGUUCCCCUCUGUUCCGUCCUUCUUGUGCUUCAGGCCCCACAGUGGCCUCAUCUACUUAUGUGUUACUGGUUUGACUGUCUUCCCCACUAGAUUGUAAGCCCCAUGCAGUAGAGACCUCAUUCUCUGCUAUAUUGGUGCCUGGGUGGUACCAAAUAAAUGGAUGUGUAA